CGGCCGCGUCCUCUCUCUCUCUCCCCGACCUCUCUUUCUCGUACACUUUCUCUUCUUCCCUCUGCAAUCACCCGAAAACACCAUUUCCGGCCACCACCUCUAGUCACCGCCACCACCAAUCGACGCAGCUCCUGUAUCCGACCUCAACCCGAGCCCAGCAAGGCCAUGCGUCGUCUCCAGCCUCCACAUGUGACCACCAAACCUGCGACACCAUUGCCAUCCUUACUACUCCGAUCUCUAGUCGCUGAUUCACACCACCGCUAUCAGAAAUUGAAGCACCUAGCUGUAGAGUGCAAACCCGAACCAUAGCCUCAAACUCUGACACCGGAAAAUGCCGUGCAAGCUCGCCGGAACUCGAGGCUCUGCAUGCCUUCGUUCUCCAAUCUCCAGUCCGAAACAAACCAAACCACCACCAUACAUGGAGUCAGCAUCUCUCCCUUGACCAAAACCCCAUAACCCCGAUCUCCGACUUUGACUGGAGCCCCCGCACCGGCUACACGCGUCGCCGCUGGCAUGUGAGCCACCACAGCACUGCCGCUUAUGGAUGCCGG
rnacentral:lncRNA from 1 species